GCCGGGCAUGGUGGCGCGUGCCUGUAGUCCCAGUUACUCGGGAGGCUGAGGCAGGAGAAUUGCUUGAACUUGGGAGGCGGAGGUUGCAGUGAGCCGAGAUCGCGCCACUGCACUCCACCCUGGGUGACAGAGUGAGACUCUGUUUCAA
rnacentral:SRP_RNA from 1 species